AGCGAACGCUGGCGGCAGGCCUAACUCAUGCAAGUCGAACGAAGUCUUCGGACUUAGUGGCGGACGGGUGAGUAACACGUGGGAACGUGCCUUUAGGUUCGGAAUAACUCAGGGAAACUUGUGCUAAUACCGAAUGUGCCCUUCGGGGAAAAGAUUUAUCGCCUUUAGAGCGGCCCGCGUCUGAUUAGCUAGUUGGUGAGGUAAAGGCUCACCAAGGCUACGAUCAGUAGCUGGUCUGAGAGGAUGACCAGCCACAUUGGGACUGAGACACGGCCCAAACUCCUACGGGAGGCAGCAGUGGGGAAUCUUGCGCAAUGGGCGAAAGCCUGACGCAGCCAUGCCGCGUGGAUGAUGAAGGUCUUAGGAUUGUAAAAUCCUUUCACCGGUGAAGAUAAUGACGGUACCCGGAGAAGAAGCCCCGGCUAACUUCGUGCCAGCAGCCGCCGCGGUAA
rnacentral:rRNA from 1 species